UACGAGAGGUGCAAGCGUUGUUCGGAAUGACUGGGCGUAAAGCGCACGUAGGUGGCUUCGCAAGUAGGAUGUGAAAGCCCCAGGCUUAACCUGGGAAUGGCACCCUAAACUACGGAUCUUGAAUGCUUAAGAGGUUGGUGGAAUUCCUGGUGUAGGAGUGAAAUCCGUAGAUAUCAGGAGGAAUAUCGGAGGCGAAGGCGGCCAACUGGUGAUGCAUUGACACUAAGGUGCGAAAGCGUGGGGAGCAAACAGG
rnacentral:rRNA from 1 species